GGUUAAAGCUCACCUAUUACCCGUAACUCAAGAAGAUCUAUGUACGCGGAGAUAUGCAGACUCAGAAUCUACAUUAGAUGGUGAUGACUUCUCCUUGGACAGCAACCAAAGCACUGAGGUUGAUUUGUUUGAAGAUAUAAGAGCAUCCAUUGAGAAAUCCAAUAUAAUGUCCAAUAUUUGCAAGUCAGUUUGCAAAUCAGGAGUUGGAGAAGCCCACAAACGGGAAACCCACUCCUUGAAGAAACUUGAUGACAUCUCUCGAAAUAGGGUGAAAUCCACACCAACUUCUAGAAGGCAAAGCGUCUAUAU